CCAAUUACAUUAAUUAUACUAUUACUUAUUACCUUAGUUUUCUCACUAAUCACCGCUUUAACUUUUGAAUGAUUAAUGUCAUUACACCAAUAUAUUACAUCAAUCAGUCGGAACAUAAAUUUGAUACUUAAAACCGACCAAUACUCACAUGUGACUAUAUUGUAGAUGGCGGAUUUCAUCCCAUGCACCAGGAAUGUAAGCAAUACAAUGCAUUUAAUACAAUAAAGGUACAGCCUCUGCGUGAAUGCAACCACUGAACUACAGCCACGAACAAAGAUACAAGUUUGCAGUGGAGGACGAAAACUACAUUAAAUCACAAUUGAUGUUGUUUUCGUCGAAUUUUGAAUUUGAAAAAACAAUGUAUGUAUUCAUAACUUGGAGCUACACUUCUUCAAAAAAAUAGUUUCUUUUAUACCACUGAUCAAUUACAAAAAUGUUCAAAGAAAAAUUCGUGGAAACCAAAAAUAUACCUUACUAUUUAAAAUGUUCAUACACAUAUAUACUAACGUAGAAGACAAAUCUAGAAACAUUUUCUGAAUGUCUGUCAUAUAUACAA